AGAGUUUGAUCCUGGCUCAGGACGAACGCUGGCGGCGUGCUUAACACAUGCAAGUCGAGCGGUAAGGCCCUUUCGGGGGUACACGAGCGGCGAACGGGUGAGUAACACGUGGGUGACCUGCCCUCAGCUCUGGGAUAAGCCUGGGAAACCGGGUCUAAUACCGGAUAUGACUCCAUGACGCAUGUUGUGGGGUGGAAAGCCUUGUGCGGCUGGGGGAUGGGCCCGCGGCCUAUCAGCUUGUUGGUGGGGUGAUGCCUACCAAGGCGACGACGGGUAGCCGGCCUGAGAGGGCGACCGGCCACACUGGGACUGAGACACGGCCAGACUCCUACGGGAGGCAGCAGUGGGGAAUCUUGCGCAAUGGGCGAAAGCCUGACGCAGCGACGCCGCGUGAGGGAUGACGGCCUUCGGGUUGUAAACCUCUUUCAGCUCCGACGAAGCGAAAGUGACGGUAGGAGCAGAAGAAGCACCGGCCAACUACGUGCCAGCAGCCGCGGUAAUACGUAGGGUGCAAGCGUUGUCCGGAAUUAUUGGGCGUAAAGAGCUCGUAGGCGGUCUGUCGCGUCGGCUGUGAAAACUUGGGGCUCAACUCCGAGCUUGCAGUCGAUACGGGCAGGCUAGAGUUCGGCAGGGGAGACUGGAAUUCCUGGUGUAGCGGUGAAAUGCGCAGAUAUCAGGAGGAACACCGGUGGCGAAGGCGGGCUCUGGGCCGAUACUGACGCUGAGGAGCGAAAGCGUGGGGAGCGAACAGGAUUAGAUACCCUAGUAGUCC
rnacentral:rRNA from 1 species